rnacentral:sRNA from 1 species
GCGAUGAGCUAAUUUGCAUAAGACGAGAUUGACGCGCCUUUUGGCAAUGCACUAUGUGGAGUGCUGUCUCUCGCCGCAAUACGCACAAAAAGACGUCCUAUUGGGCGUCUU